rnacentral:tRNA from 1 species
GGGCGCGUAGCUCAGCGGUAGAGCAUCCGCCUUUUAAGUGGAUGGUCCCGGGUUCGAUUCCCGGCGCGCCUA